rnacentral:rRNA from 1 species
AUUGAACGCUAGCGGCAGGCUUAACACAUGCAAGUCGAACGAGCGGCGGACGGGUGAGUAAUAUCUCGGAAACUGCCUCAUGGAGGGGGAUAACUACUGGAAACGGUAGCUAAUACCGCAUACUAUUAGAUCUGCCCAUAUGGGAUUAGCUAGUAGGUGGGGUAAUGGCUCACCUAGGCGACGAGCCCUAGCUGGUCUGAGAGGACGACCAGCCACACUGGAACUGAGACACGGUCCAGACUCCUACGGGAGGCAGCAGUGGGGAAGUGUGCACAAUGGGCGCAAGCCUGAUGCAGCCAUGCCGCGUGUAUGAAGAAGGCCUUCGGGUUGUAAAGUACUUUCAGCGGUGAUGCGUUACUUGCAGAAGAAGCACCGGCUAACUCCGUGCCAGCAGCCGCGGUAAUUC